UUUUAAUCAUAGUAAUGAGUAAUUAUAUUUUUAAAAUCAAUUAUAAAUAAAAUAAUAAUUAUUUAUCAUAAUCAUAAAUAUAAAAUUAAUUAUAUUAUAUUAAAAAUAUAAAUUAUAUAAUUUUAUAAAUUUAUACUGCUUUACAAGUAUCAAAAUUAUAUAUAUAUCAAAAAAAAUUAUUUAAGAUGCUCCUCAUCAUCCUCCUUAUCCUCCUCCUGCUCCUAUAUGUCCUCUCCAAUAGCUGAUGGAUGAGAGCUAAAUAUAUCAGUAUCCUAUAAUGAAGAAAAAUAAAAUUUUAUUAAUAAGUUUUGAUGUGAAAGCGUAUAUAUCGAUACAGAAGCAUAUAUUUCGAUAUACUACUUCGAUUCUUAAACAGAUUAUUCUUACAUAUUUUAUUCGAUGAUACGAAACUAUAGACACUUCCUAC
rnacentral:lncRNA from 1 species